rnacentral:misc_RNA from 1 species
CAUUACCUUCAAACCCCCAAAUACCAGCGUCAGAAUUGAAUACAUUAUACAAUCUCUCUUCUGGGUUGAGGCAAUACCACGACGGGAGGCCGAGAGGACCCCUCUGGAGAGGCAAGAAGCUGAUAGGAAAAGAAGCCCUUUUUGUAACUCAAGGAUUAAAGAGGCUUAAAGAUGACGAAGAGAAGCUUCAGAAAUUCAUAAAAACCCAUGUUUUGAGGCUGUUAAAAAUGGAC